rnacentral:RNase_P_RNA from 1 species
AGUCGGUCGGACGGCUGCGGGCGGGGUUUUACCACCGUCUGAGGAAAGUCCGGGCACCGCAGGGCAGGAUAACGGCUAACGGCCGCCGAGGGUGACCUCAGGGAUAGUGCAACAGAGAUAUACCGCCGAUUUUUCGGUAAGGGUGGAAAGGCGAGGUAAGAGCUCACCACGGGGACGGAGACGCACCCCGUCUGUAAACCCUAUCCGGUGCAACGCUGACAGGAACAAUACAUUUGCCCGAUGUGUUCCAACGAGCGGCUUGAGCCAAUAGGCAACUAUUGGUCGAGAUAGAUGGUCGUCGCAGAGGAAACUCUGAACAGAACCCGGCUUACAGACCGAGUG